GUGCUCUGUUCAGCAGCACAUAUACUAAAAUUGUAACCAUACAGAGAAGAUUAGCAAAGCCCCUGUGCAAGAAUGACAUGCAAAUUCAAGAAGCGUUCGAUAUUUUU
ensembl:snRNA LOC120094976 U6 spliceosomal RNA